rnacentral:rRNA from 1 species
GAUGAACGCUGGCGGCGUGCCUAAUACAUGCAAGUCGAGCGAACGGACGAGAAGCUUGCUUCUCUGAUGUUAGCGGCGGACGGGUGAGUAACACGUGGAUAACCUACCUAUAAGACUGGGAUAACUUCGGGAAACCGGAGCUAAUACCGGAUAAUAUUUUGAACCGCAUGGUUCAAAAGUGAAAGACGGUCUUGCUGUCACUUAUAGAUGGAUCCGCGCUGCAUUAGCUAGUUGGUAAGGUAACGGCUUACCAAGGCAACGAUGCAUAGCCGACCUGAGAGGGUGAUCGGCCACACUGGAACUGAGACACGGUCCAGACUCCUACGGGAGGCAGCAGUAGGGAAUCUUCCGCAAUGGGCGAAAGCCUGACGGAGCAACGCCGCGUGAGUGAUGAAGGUCUUCGGAUCGUAAAACUCUGUUAUUAGGGAAGAACAUAUGUGUAAGUAACUGUGCACAUCUUGACGGUACCUAAUCAGAAAGCCACGGCUAACUACGUGCCAGCAGCCGCGGUAAUACGUAGGUGGCAAGCGUUAUCCGGAAUUAUUGGGCGUAAAGCGCGCGUAGGCGGUUUUUUAAGUCCGAUGUGAAAGCCCACGGCUCAACCGUGGAGGGUCAUUGGAAACUGGAAAACUUGAGUGCAGAAGAGGAAAGUGGAAUUCCAUGUGUAGCGGUGAAAUGCGCAGAGAUAUGGAGGAACACCAGUGGCGAAGGCGACUUUCUGGUCUGUAACUGACGCUGAUGUGCGAAAGCGUGGGGAUCAAACAGGAUUAGAUACCCUGGUAGUCCACGCCGUAAACGAUGAGUGCUAAGUGUUAGGGGGUUUCCGCCCCUUAGUGCUGCAGCUAACGCAUUAAGCACUCCGCCUGGGGAGUACGACCGCAAGGUUGAAACUCAAAGGAAUUGACGGGGACCCGCACAAGCGGUGGAGCAUGUGGUUUAAUUCGAAGCAACGCGAAGAACCUUACCAAAUCUUGACAUCCUUUGACAACUCUAGAGAUAGAGCUUUCCCCUUCGGGGGACAAAGUGACAGGUGGUGCAUGGUUGUCGUCAGCUCGUGUCGUGAGAUGUUGGGUUAAGUCCCGCAACGAGCGCAACCCUUAAGCUUAGUUGCCAUCAUUGAGUUGGGCACUCUAAGUUGACUGCCGGUGACAAACCGGAGGAAGGUGGGGAUGACGUCAAAUCAUCAUGCCCCUUAUGAUUUGGGCUACACACGUGCUACAAUGGACAAUACAAAGGGCAGCGAAACCGCGAGGUCAAGCAAAUCCCAUAAAGUUGUUCUCAGUUCGGAUUGUAGUCUGCAACUCGACUACAUGAAGCUGGAAUCGCUAGUAAUCGUAGAUCAGCAUGCUACGGUGAAUACGUUCCCGGGUCU